GCUCUCUCCGAUCCAGAAAUCGUCUCCAAGAUCCUCGCUGAUUUGGACAUGGAGUACAAUCCGGUGGUUUCUGCACUCGCCGCUCGUGUGGAACCCAUCACCGUCCAGGAGUUGUACAACCAACUUCUGAGUUUUGAUG
rfam:Triticum aestivum genome assembly, contig: Triticum_aestivum_CS42_TGACv1_scaffold_226891_3B